rnacentral:rRNA from 1 species
CUGGCUCAGGACGAACGCUGGCGGCGUGCUUAACACAUGCAAGUCGAACGGUGAAGAGGAGCUUGCUCCUUGGAUCAGUGGCGAACGGGUGAGUAACACGUGAGCAAUCUGCCCUUGACUCUGGGAUAACUGCGGGAAACUGUAGCUAAUACCGGAUAUUACCUUGGAAGGCAUCUUCUGGGGUGGAAAGAAUUUUGGUCAAGGAUGAGCUCGCGGCCUAUCAGCUAGUUGGUGAGGUAAUGGCUCACCAAGGCGACGACGGGUAGCCGGCCUGAGAGGGUGACCGGCCACACUGGGACUGAGACACGGCCCAGACUCCUACGGGAGGCAGCAGUGGGGAAUAUUGCACAAUGGGCGCAAGCUGAUGCAGCAACGCCGCGUGAGGGACGACGGCCUUCGGGUUGUAAACCUCUUUUAGUAGGGAAGAAGCGACUGGGUUUUCCUGGGAGUGACGGUACCUGCAGAAAAAGCACCGGCUAACUACGUGCCAGCAGCCGCGGUAAUACGUAGGGUGCAAGCGUUGUCCGGAAUUAUUGGGCGUAAAGAGCUCGUAGGCGGUUUGUCGCGUCUGCUGUGAAAACCCGAGGCUCAACCUCGGGCCUGCAGUGGGUACGGGCAGACUAGAGUGCGGUAGGGGAGAUUGGAAUUCCUGGUGUAGCGGUGGAAUGCGCAGAUAUCAGGAGGAACACCAAUGGCGAAGGCAGAUCUCUGGGCCGUAACUGACGCUGAGGAGCGAAAGCAUGGGGAGCGAACAGGAUUAGAUACCCUGGUAGUCCAUGCCGUAAACGUUGGGAACUAGAUGUGGGGACCAUUCCACGGUCUCCGUGUCGCAGCUAACGCAUUAAGUUCCCCGCCUGGGGAGUACGGCCGCAAGGCUAAAACUCAAAGGAAUUGACGGGGGCCCGCACAAGCGGCGGAGCAUGCGGAUUAAUUCGAUGCAACGCGAAGAACCUUACCAAGGCUUGACAUAUACCGGUAACGCCUGGAAACAGGUGCCCCGCAAGGUCGGUAUACAGGUGGUGCAUGGUUGUCGUCAGCUCGUGUCGUGAGAUGUUGGGUUAAGUCCCGCAACGAGCGCAACCCUCGUCCUAUGUUGCCAGCACGUAAUGGUGGGAACUCAUGGGAUACUGCCGGGGUCAACUCGGAGGAAGGUGGGGAUGACGUCAAAUCAUCAUGCCCCUUAUGUCUUGGGCUUCACGCAUGCUACAAUGGCCGGUACAAAGGGCUGCGAUACCGCAAGGUGGAGCGAAUCCCAAAAAGCCGGUCUCAGUUCGGAUUGAGGUCUGCAACUCGACCUCAUGAAGUCGGAGUCGCUAGUAAUCGCAGA